CAGCCGCCGCGGUAAAACGUAGGUGGCAAGCGUUGUCCGGAAUUAUUGGGCGUAGAGCGCGCGCAGGCGGAUCAGUCAGUCUGUCUUAAAAGUUCGGGGCUUAACCCCGUGAUGGGGUGGAAACUGCUGAUCUAGAGUAUCGGAGAGGAAAGUGGAAUUCCUAGUGUAGCGGUGAAAUGCGUAGAUAUUAGGAAGAACACCAGUGGCGAAGGCGACUUUCUGGACGAAAACUGACGCUGAGGCGCGAAAGCCAGGGGAGCGAACGGGAUUAGAUACCCGCGUAGUCCCUGUCUCUUAUACA
rnacentral:rRNA from 1 species